rnacentral:rRNA from 1 species
GAUGAACGCUGGCGGCGUGCCUAAUACAUGCAAGUCGAGCGAACAGACGAGGAGCUUGCUCCUCUGACGUUAGCGGCGGACGGGUGAGUAACACGUGGAUAACCUACCUAUAAGACUGGGAUAACUUCGGGAAACCGGAGCUAAUACCGGAUAAUAUAUUGAACCGCAUGGUUCAAUAGUGAAAGACGGUUUUGCUGUCAAUUAUAGAUGGAUCCGCGCCGCAUUAGCUAGUUGGUAAGGUAACGGCUUACCAAGGCAACGAUGCGUAGCCGACCUGAGAGGGUGAUCGGCCACACUGGAACUGAGACACGGUCCAGACUCCUACGGGAGGCAGCAGUAGGGAAUCUUCCGCAAUGGGCGAAAGCCUGACGGAGCAACGCCGCGUGAGUGAUGAAGGUCUUCGGAUCGUAAAACCCUGUUAUUAGGGAAGAACAAAUGUGUAAGUAACUAUGCACGUCUUGACGGUACCUAAUCAGAAAGCCACGGCUAACUACGUG